rnacentral:rRNA from 1 species
CCCUAGUAGCGGCGAGCGAAGCGGGAAGAGCUCAAAUUUAUAAUCUGGCACCUUCGGUGUCCGAGUUGUAAUCUCUAGAAAUGUUUUCCGCGUUGGACCGCACACAAGUCUGUUGGAAUACAGCGGCAUAGUGGUGAGACCCCCGUAUAUGGUGCGGACGCCCAGCGCUUUGUGAUACAUUUUCGAAGAGUCGAGUUGUUUGGGAAUGCAGCUCAAAUUGGGUGGUAAAUUCCAUCUAAAGCUAAAUAUUGGCGAGAGACCGAUAGCGAACAAGUACCGUGAGGGAAAGAUGAAAAGCACUUUGGAAAGAGAGUUAACAGUACGUGAAAUUGUUGGAAGGGAAACGCUUGAAGUCAGACUUGCUUGCCGAGCAAUCGGUUUGCAGGCCAGCAUCAGUUUUCCGGGAUGGAUAAUGGUAGAGAGAAGGUAGCAGUUUCGGCUGUGUUAUAGCUCUCUGCUGGAUACAUCUUGGGGGACUGAGGAACGCAGUGUGCCUUUGGCGGGGGUUUCGACCUCUUCACACUUAGGAUGCUGGUGGAAUGGCUUUAAACGACCCGUCUUGAAACACGGACCAAGGAGUCUAACAUGCUUGCGAGUAUUUGGGUGUCAAACCCGGAUGCGUAAUGAAAGUGAAUGGAGGUGGGAACCGCAAGGUGCACCAUCGACCGAUCUGGAUUUUUAAUGAUGGAUUUGAGUAAGAGCACGUAUGUUGGGACCCGAAAGAUGGUGAACUAUGCCUGAAUAGGGCGAAGCCAGAGGAAACUCUGGUGGAGGCUCGUAGCGGUUCUGACGUGCAAAUCGAUCGUCAAAUUUGGGUAUAGGG